ACUGGGAGGAAAGAGAGAAUUUUCUUAGGAUUCUGGAUUCAGAGAAACAUAAGCCUGCUGUGAAUCACUGGGAAGAAAGACUUGGAUGAAAACUUUAUGCAACACAUACUUCUUGCUGCCCUGGUCUUUCUCAUAGCCCCUCAACCUAAGAACUAGUCGGAGAGGUCUCUCUUGAAAUUAAAAUGAUUUAGGGUAAUGUACAUAAAGAAUCCAAUGUGAAAAUUGCAAAGAAAACUAUAGAGGAAAAGAGUUAGAAGGAAAGAAGAGAUGGCUGGAAGCAUGGAGAGAAAACAACAUGAG